UACGUAGGGCGCAAGCGUUAUCCGGAAUUAUUGGGCGUAAAGAGCUCGUAGGCGGCUUGUCGCGUCGACUGUGAAAACCCGCGGCUCAACUGUGGGCUUGCAGUCGAUACGGGCAGGCUGGAGUUCGGUAGGGGAGACUGGAGUUCCUGGUGUAGCGGUGAAAUGCGCAGAUAUCAGGAGGAACACCGGUGGCGAAGGCGGGUCUCUGGGCCGAUACUGACGCUGAGGAGCGAAAGCGUGGGGAGCGAACAGG
rnacentral:rRNA from 1 species